UGGUCUGACUGAGAAAAGAAAAUAAGUAUCAGUUGUUGAAACUUGAAACCAAAUGUUGGAGAAGACGUCCAUGGAUUCUGGCUCUGCCUCUUCCUUCCUCAAGGCCAUACCUCCUCUUUUAUAAUUUUUCAGCUUUUUAGAGAAGGGUUCAAUGGAUAACCUUCAUGCAUCCGAGUCAACUCUUGCUUGGCUUUGGGUCAUUGAAGCAAUGGCAAGCUUCAAAGAAGUGGACCCAUCACUUUUACGUGAUGUGAUUGAAGCGGCUCCAGAAUUACCUGAUGAUUUGGGAAAGAAUACAAAAGAAAUUGUUGCUUUGAGAUGUUUGGAAGGCUUAUUCUCUUCACAAAAUGAAAUUUCUUCUGAUGUGCCUUCUGCCCAGGGUUUAAAAGUUGGGUUUGAUUUGUCAGUAAGUUGUGAAGAUGUUCUUCAACGCAUAUUACAAGAGACUUUAGGAUCAAAUUCAAGAGUUUCGGGACCAGAGUUGUCAAGAUGGGAUAUUCACCCAUUCAUUGCUCACAAAAGAGCUUGUAUGCCCAAAUGUGCUUUGGAGCAGCUGAAAGAUACAAUUCUUGAUGGUACUCAUCCAUAUGCGGAUUUCUUGAGGGAUAAGGGUCGAUUGGCAACAAGUUUGGAAGACAUUAAUUUGAUGGAUGAUAGCAAUCGUGAUUCUGUUACUACUAGGCCUAAUUUUUCUGGCACUGAUGUUCAAAAUGAAGUGAAUCUUGAUCUUUUGAUCCCUGAGAAGAGAAACAAACAGUUGGGAGAAAAUCAUCAUGAUGGAGCUAUACUGCCUUCAAAGAGAGACAGGUCUGGCUCAGCUAGUAAAGGUAUGGCUUGUAAUGUUCAUGAAGAUUGCAAUGGCGAAACCAAUUCUGAGGUUCAACAUAUGAAUGCAAAAAGAUUGAAGCAGUAUGAAUCUUCUGAUAAUCAGUUUGUUGAACAGAACCCAGUUCCUUUUCAUGGAAGUGAACCAUUAGAACAUUCUUCUGAAAGAGAUGUUUCAGUUACUACUAGAGAGUUGCCAGAAAAUGAGAUGGGAACCAUGGGAGAAAGUGGGGUUUUAGAGAAUGGUUGUAAUGAUGAAUCUAAUAAGAAUAUGGUGCAGUUUCCUUGUAAUUCCCCUGUGAUGCCUCAAAUUAAUAGUGGAGAAGAAGCCAAUCAUCAGCAUUUAUCUGUUGGUGAAGAAAAUGUUGUCAGCAACCAUUGUGCUCAAUCAGGUGGUGCUUUUGAGCCAGUGGAGCAGGACACAGUUACUUUGCAUGGAAAAGAACCGACAAAAGAUUCUUCUAAAUUAGAUGUUCAGGUCCCUGUGGAGGAAGCAACGUUUACAGAGAAUGAUUAUACUGUCUCAAACAGGUCUCAGCAGAGUAAUGAUGAUGAAAUUAAUAAGAAUCAGUCAGAGAAUCUUUAUGAUGCCCCUAGUUUGAUGCAAGACACUACUAGAGAUGACCCCCAUCAAAAUUUAUCUGUUGAUGACACCAAUAAUGUGAGUGAACCUUCCACUGAACCAGUUGGUGUUCCUUCCCAUGAUACUGUGGAUAACAUUUCCACUAAAGAAUCUAAAAGCAGCCAUGAGCAUGAUUUUCCACUUCAAGAGCAAAAUCCUAUGUCCAAUGACGGAUCUCGGCAGAAUAUUAUUGCUGGUGAGGCCGAAGAGGACACAAAUGACUGUGGUGAAGCAGAGAAGUCAAGUGAUAGUGAUGGAUAUCAUAAUGAGAGGAUUGAUGUAGACAAGAGAAAACUUGAAUUUUUAAGAUCUCAGUGCACAGUUGGUCAUGAUUCCUUGAAUGUUGACUGGACAGAGAAAUAUUUAUGUAUGAAGUGUAAUAAAGCUGGUUCAUUGUUGGUUUGCAAUACUAAUAAUUGCCAAUUGGUAAUUCAUGAGAAAUGUGGAGGUUCUUUAGCAAAAUUUGAUGACAUGGGUAAUUUCUACUGCCCUUUUUGUGCAUAUUCUCUUGCUAUCAUGGAAUAUCUUGAAGCUAAGAAGAGAUCCUCUGUGGCUAAUAAAGAACUAGCUGCAUUUAUUCUUAUGGGUUCCAAACGUUACCCAGAAGAAUCCACCAGAAGUUUAAUUAAGGAAAGAAAUCAUUCUACUGGAGGAAAUGCGGAUGAGGAUGUUCUUAGACAAAACCAUGAGAAUGAACACUUGGGAGUGAGAGAGAAAAAUGAAGAAGAUGAUCAUCAAUGUGAAAAAAAUUUCGUCAACCAAGAAGCAGUAAUUUCUGCACAUAAUGACAAUAAUAGAGGUGGGUGUCACGUUUCAGCAGGUGAAAUAGAAGGCAGAGAAAAGAUGGCCAAAGAGUGCCCAUCUGCAAGAGCUGAAGUACCACAGAAUGUAUCUAGUGGAAAUUCUGAAGUAAAUCUUGUGAAUGAAGGAAAGUCGGACAUAGGAAUUCAAAGGAAACUUCUAGACCAAGAUAUUGAUCCGACAAAACGGUCUGUAAUUGAAUCUCAUGACAGUAUUGAGGACGAUUCUGAAAAUGAUAAUCACGAGUCCACCGUUUCCGAUUACUGCAUAUCUUUUCGAAAGAGAGAGAAUCGCCUCUCGGACUCGGCAUCUCCUCAGAAAAGGCGAAAGAAAGUUCCAUGGACAGUUGAGGAAGAACUGAAGUUAAAGGAGGGGGUGCAAAAAUUUCCUAAAGAGAGAAACAUGUGGAAGAAAGUCUUGGAAUUCGGAGACUCUGUAUUCAUGGAAGGUCGCACUGCGAUAGACCUGAAGGAUAAAUGGAGAAACAUGUGCAAGGGGAUUCCAAAAUGAAAGAGAAGUGGAAUCUUCUACAUCAACAAUUAAAGCCCACAAGGACCCAAGUUUCUCCAGGUUUAAAGAGAUGGUCGUCUUAAUAAGGAGUUUUUUGUCAACCUUGAGGGAUGGGAUCUGGCAAGGCAGGUUCUUCUUCUCGGUUUCUUUUUUUCGUUCGCCAAAAUGAGUACUCGGUUAGCAUCAUUAGUCUGAGGGAAAUUAUACUGGAAUACACGCAUGGGAUAAAGGUGAUGAGAGUCUCGGGAAUCAAGUUGUGACUGGGAAGAAAACAUGUGAAAUAGUACUCGUGAAAAUGGAAAAUGUUGAGGUGGGUAUUAUUGACAGUAACUAAUAAAAGUAAAACCUUGUAGAUAGAGAUGCAACCCUUGCAGUAUCCAAGGGAGACUCAAGCAAUAUCUCAUUGAAAGCUUUCACUUCCAUCCAUGACUCAAAACUUAGUCAAAAUCUUGGCCACCAAAAGCUCCACUAACCACCACAACAAUUAAAUGCUUCCCACUUUACAUUAUUCUUUUUCUUACUUUUAAAUUUACCAAUUUCUUCGGUUUUGUUAUUUUCUUCUCAGUUUUGAUUAAAGGUGUAAAAUUAAUAUUAGCUACACUAACCAUCUUUCAUGUAUACCUCAUAGGGAAAGUUUAUGU